UCAAUUGCUAAAUUCUCUCUAAAAUGCGUUUUAUGCGUUUACAUCGACAUUUGUAUCACUUGGGGUGCGUUCCGAAAUCUACUGCCAGUACUGACAGUACUGUUUUUUCGUUCCGAAAUCGUUUUCAGCGUGCUGUCAGCAACUGUAAAUUACUAUCUAUUCUACAAAAAUAGACCCUAGGGAAUUACUGACUUUCGGCUAAUUUUACACAUUGUCCGGAGGUAGUGCAAAUUCAGUAAAGCAUAUGGCCGCCGUCCGCCGUACAUUAAUGUGUAUAAUUAAAAUUGACGAGAUUGUUAAAAAAUUAAUUGUAACAAUGGAAACUGUUCGAUACGAACUUAUUGAUGGCAACAAUAACAUUUAUGAAGUGUUUCUGAAAAUCACGCGAUGAUUAUAUCACACAAUAUUUUGUUCAAUAAUGAAAUAAUAGAGAAAUUCUAUUUUUUUAUUAUAAUUCCUACCUAAAAUGUGCUUUGAAUCCUUCAUCCGAAAGUAAAGCAAUAACAUUUUCAAUAUAAUUUUUUAUGCGUGGCCUUAAUUCCAAUGGUCUACGCUUAGUAAUCAUGUUUAAGACAUUUAGAAUUUCUUCCUCAUCGUCUGAUGAACUGUCACUGUCACUAUUAAUAACAUUCACAAUACCUUGCACUGCAAUUAUAAUUGCAUUGACAUUUGCCAUAAUUAGAUUGUAUAAAGUUAGGUUUUUAUGAUGGCAUCAACAGUUGCUGGUUUGACUGUAAACGCAUUCCGUUUUUUAGUGUUGCCAGUAUUCACUGGCGUUUCGGAACAGCUCAAACCCAGUAACUUCAGUAGCAGUACUGUCAGUACUGUCAGUAGAUUUCGGAACGCACCCUAGAGAGGAUAAUGUUGGCAACGCUUCAAAUCUCUAGGAUCCAUAAAUUUAUUUUUUGAGGUUUUCAGCACUGUUGAAGCGUAAGAGUGUGCACAGAGCAGUACAGAGUGUGUACAGAAAUAAAGUGUUGUGACAGGUGUAGUAAAUAACCUCAUUUUUUACAAAUUAUUUUAUAAAUUUUUGUUAUAUGUAAUGUUUUUACCUGUACUGUAUGAUUGCCAUAGAGUGUAGUAAAUUUUGGACAAGCUAGGA